GGCCUCGUCGUUCAGCUAGUAGAGCGUGCGCGUACAAAGCGUAAGGCGGCGUCCAUGCGUUGGUUCGAAUCCCACCGAGGCAA
rnacentral:tRNA from 1 species